GUGCUUGCUUCAUCAGCACAUAUGCUAAGAUUGGGACCAUACAGAGAAGAUUAGCAUGGCUCCUGUGCAAGGAUGACAAAUUCUUGAAACACUUCUUAUUUUA